UCCCAGACUCCUACGGGAGGCAGCAGUGGGGGAUAUUGCACAAUGGGGGGAACCCUGAUGCAGCGACGCCGCGUGGGUGAAGAAGCGCCUCGGCGCGUAAAGCCCUGUCAGCAGGGAAGAAAAUGACGGUACCCAAAGAGGAAGCUCCGGCUAACUACGUGCCAGCAGCCGCGGUAAUACGUAGGGAGCGAGCGUUGUCCGGAAUUACUGGGUGUAAAGGGAGCGUAGGCGGGCGAGAAAGUUGAAUGUUAAAUCUACCGGCUUAACUGGGAGCUGCGUUCAAAACUUCUUGUCUUGAGUGAAGUAGAGGCAGGCGGAAUUCCUAGUGUAGCGGUGAAAUGCGUAGAUAUUAGGAGGAACACCAGUGGCGAAGGCGGCCUGCUGGACUGCAACUGACGUUGAGGCCCGAAAGCGUGGGGAGCAAACAGGAUUAGAUACCCCAGUAU
rnacentral:rRNA from 1 species